AGCGAACGCUGGCGGCGUGCCUAACACAUGCAAGUCGAACGUGAAAAGGGAAACCUGAGUAAAGUGGCGUACGGGUGAGUAACGCGUAGGUAAUCUACCCCAGAAUCUGGAAUAACCUGCCGAAAGGCGGGCUAAUACUGGAUAGAGCGAGGGAACUCGUAAGAGAGUUUUUCGGGAAAGGGAGCCCGCAAGGGCCUUCGUUCUGGGACGAGCCUGCGUCUCAUUAGCUAGUUGGUAAGGUAACGGCUUACCAAGGCGAUGAUGAGUAGCUGGUCUGAGAGGAUGAUCAGCCACACUGGAACUGAAACACGGUCCAGACUCCUACGGGAGGCAGCAGUGGGGAAUCUUGCGCAAUGGACGAAAGUCUGACGCAGCCACGCCGCGUGAGUGAAGAAGGCCUUCGGGUUGUAAAGCUCUGUCGGAUGGGACGAACAUCUUCAUAGUGAAUAGCUAUGAGGACUGACGGUACCAUCAAAGGAAGCACCGGCUAACUCCGUG
rnacentral:rRNA from 1 species